rfam:Colletotrichum gloeosporioides Nara gc5 unplaced genomic scaffold scaffold435, whole genome shotgun sequence.
GGUUUCGUGGUGUAGUUGGUUAUCACGUCAGUCUAACAGAUCGAGGUCCUCUGGAUCCUCGCCUGGUUCACUGAAGGUCUCCGGUUCAAGUCCGGGCGAAAUCA